rnacentral:rRNA from 2 species
CGUUGCGGCGGCUACACAUGCAAGUCGAACGGUAACAGGAAGCAGCUUGCUGCUUCGCUGACGAGUGGCGGACGGGUGAGUAAUGUCUGGGAAACUGCCUGAUGGAGGGGGAUAACUACUGGAAACGGUAGCUAAUACCGCAUAACGUCGCAAGACCAAAGAGGGGGACCUUCGGGCCUCUUGCCAUCGGAUGUGCCCAGAUGGGAUUAGCUAGUAGGUGGGGUAACGGCUCACCUAGGCGACGAUCCCUAGCUGGUCUGAGAGGAUGACCAGCCACACUGGAACUGAGACACGGUCCAGACUCCUACGGGAGGCAGCAGUGGGGAAUAUUGCACAAUGGGCGCAAGCCUGAUGCAGCCAUGCCGCGUGUAUGAAGAAGGCCUUCGGGUUGUAAAGUACUUUCAGCGGGGAGGAAGGCGAUAAGGUUAAUAACCUUGUCGAUUGACGUUACCCGCACAAAAAUCACCCGCUAACUCCA